GAUGAAGAACGUAGCAAAAUGCGAUACUUGGCGUGAAUUGCAGAAUCCCGUGAACCAUCGAGUUUUUGAACGCAAGUUGCGCCCGAAGCCUUUUGGCCGAGGGCACGUCUGCCUGGGCGUCACGCAUCGCGUCGCCCCCCACAAUUCUCCGUAAAGGGAACAUGUGUUUUGGGGGCGGAUAUUGGUCUCCCGUGCUCAUGGCGUGGUUGGCCGAAAUAGGAGUCCUUUCGAUGGACGCACGAACUAGUGGUGGUCGUAAAAACCCUCGUCUUUUGUUUCGUGCUGUUGCUCGCAAGGUAAACUCUUUAAAAACCCCAAUGUGUCGUCUCUUGACGACGCUUCGACCGCGACCCCAGGUCAGGCGGGACUACCCGCUGAGUUUAAGCAUAUCAAUAAGCGGAGGA
rnacentral:misc_RNA from 1 species